rnacentral:rRNA from 1 species
CACGAAGUCGGAAUUGCUAGUAAUGGCAGGUCAGCAUACUGCCGUGAAUACGUUCCCGGGCCUUGUACACACCGCCCGUCACACCAUGAGAGUUAGGAAUACCCGAAGCCUGUGAGCUAACUUUAAUAGAGGCAGCAGUCGAAGGUAGAACUAAUGAUUGGGGUGAAGUCGUAACAAGGUAAC